rnacentral:rRNA from 1 species
GGGUCAGGAGGGUGGUCGUGCCACCGGUACGUACUGGUCUCACUGAUUCCUCCUUCCUGAAGACCCGUACUGCCAUUAAUUUGGUGUUGCGGGGAAACAGGACUGUUACUUUGAAAAAAUUAGAGUGUUUAAAGCAAGCUAACGCUUGAAUACAUUAGCAUGGAAUAAUGAAAUAGGACGAUCGAUCCUAUUUUGUUGGUUUCUAGGAUUGACGUAAAGAUUAAUAGGGAUUGUUGGG